CAAUAGCGUAUAUUUAAGUUGUUGCAGUUAAAAAGCUCGUAGUUGGAUUUCGGGUUGGCUUCAGCGGUCUCGCUUUGCGUUUGUACUGCCGCAGCCUUCCUUCUUGCUGGGGACGGUCCUCCGGGCUUCAUUGCUUGGGGUCUGGAAUCAGCGACGUUACUUUGAGUAAAUUAGAGUGUUCAAAGCAAGCCUACGCUCUGAAUAUAAUAGCAUGGGAUAACACGACAGGACUCUGGCCUAUCGUGUUGGUCUGUAGGAUCAGAGUAAUGAUUAAGAGGGACAGUCGGGGGCAUUCGUAUUCCGUUGUCAGAGGUGAAAUUCUUGGAUUUACGGAAGACGAACAUCUGCGAAAGCAUUUGCCAAGGAUGUUUUCAUUGA
rnacentral:rRNA from 1 species